rnacentral:rRNA from 1 species
AGUUAAGUGACUAAGCGUACACGGUGGAUGCCUUGGCAAUCAGAGGCGAAGAAGGACGUGCUAAUCUGCGAAAAGCGUGGGGGAGCUGAUAAGGAGCGCAAAUCCCACGAUGUCCGAAUGGGGAAACCCGAUAGGUGAAGAAUCUAUCAUUGUUGUCUGAAUUCAUAGGGCAACAAGGCAAACCGGGAGAACUGAAACAUCUAAGUACCCCGAGGAAAAGAAAUCAACCGAGAUUCUGCGAGUAGCGGCGAGCGAAAGCGGAGGAGCCAGCGAGUGAUAGCAUAAGUUUUAGGAGAAUUGUCUGGGAAGGCAAGCGAGAGAGGGUGACAGCCCCGUAUCCGAAAAGACGGAUGUGGUACUAAGCACGCGAGAAGUAGGGCGGGACACGAGGAAUCCUGUUUGAAGAAGGGGGGACCAUCCUCCAAGGCUAAAUACUCCUGAUUGACCGAUAGUGGACCAGUACCGUGAGGGAAAGGCGAAAAGAACCCCGGGAGGGGAGUGAAAGAGAACCUGAAACCGUGUACGUACAAGCAGUGGGAGCCUGAAAGGGUGACUGCGUACCUUUUGUAUAAUGGGUCAGCGACUUAUAUUUUGUAGCGAGGUUAACCGGAUAGGGGAGCCGAAGGGAAACCGAGUCUUAACUGGGCGGUUAGUUGCAAGAUAUAGACCCGAAACCCGGUGAUCUAGCCAUGGGCAGGAAGAAGGUUGGGUAACACUAACUGGAGGGCCGAACCGACUACUGUUGAAAAAGUAGCGGAUGACCUGUGGCUGGGGGUGAAAGGCCAAUCAAACCGGGAGAUAGCUGGUUCUCCCCGAAAUCUAUUUAGGUAGAGCCUUAUAUGAAUACCUUCGGGGGUAGAGCACUGUUUCGGCUAGGGGUCCAUCCCGGAUUACCAACCCGAUGCAAACUGCGAAUACCGAAGAGUAAUGUAUAGGAGACACACGGCGGGUGCUAACGUUCGUCGUGGAGAGGGAAACAACCCAGACCGCCAGCUAAGGUCCCAAAGUCUAUAUUAAGUGGGAAACGAAGUGGAAAGGCUUAGACAGCUAGGAUGUUGGCUUAGAAGCAGCCACCAUUUAAAGAAAGCGUAAUAGCUCACUAGUCGAGUCGGUCUGCGCGGAAGAUGUAACGGGGCUAAAAUAUAGCACCGAAGCUGCGGCAUCAGGCGUAUCACACAUACGCCUUACGAUUAACACCUUGCGGAGCAAGGUGGUCAAGCGACUUACACGUUGAGGUGUGAGCGGGAGGGAUAAUCGAAGAGAGGAAUAUGUGUGAUACGUCUGUUGGGUAGGGGAGCGUUGUGUAAGCUGAAGAAGGUGGUUCGAGAGGGCUGCUGGAGGUAUCACAAGUGCGAAUGCUGACAUAAGUAACGAUAAAGCGGGUGAAAGGCCCGCUCGCCGGAAGACCAAGGUUUCCUGUCCAACGUUAAUCGGGGCAGGGUGAGUCGGCCCCUAAGGCGAGGCUGAGAAGCGUAGUCGAUGGGAAAUGGGUUAAUAUUCCCAUACUUGGAUAAACUGCGAUGUGGGGACGGAGCAGGUUAGGUUAGCGUACGGAUGGAAGAGUACGUUUAAGUUGGUAGGUGGGGUGUUUAGGCAAAUCCGGGCACCUGAUAACACUGAGAGAUGAUGACGAGGCUCUACGGAGCUGAAGUAACUGAUACCCAACUUCCAGGAAAAGCCACUAAGCUUCAGGUUUAUCUAAACCGUACUGGAAACCGACACAGGUGGUCAGGUAGAGAAUACUAAGGCGCUUGAGAGAACUCGGGUGAAGGAACUAGGCAAAAUAGCACCGUAACUUCGGGAGAAGGUGCGCUGGCGUAGUGUGAAGUUCUUCGCGAAUGGAGCAUGAACCAGUCGAAGCGACGAGCUGGCUGCAACUGUUUAAUAAAAACACAGCACUCUGCAAACACGAAAGUGGACGUAUAGGGUGUGAUGCCUGCCCGGUGCUGGAAGGUUAAUUGAUGGUGUCAUCGAAAGAGAAGCACCUGAUCGAAGCCCCAGUAAACGGCGGCCGUAACUAUAACGGUCCUAAGGUAGCGAAAUUCCUUGUCGGGUAAGUUCCGACCUGCACGAAUGGCAUAAUGAUGGCCAGGCUGUCUCCACCCGAGACUCAGUGAAAUUGAAAUCGCCGUGAAGAUGCGGUGUACCCGCGGCUAGACGGAAAGACCCCGUGAACCUUUACUAUAGCUUGACACUGAACCUUGAAUUUUAAUGUGUAGGAUAGGUGGGAGACUAAGAAGCGGUAACGCCAGUUAUCGUGGAGUCGGUGUUGAAAUACCACCCUUUAACGUUUGAUGUUCUAACGAGGCGCCUGGGACAGGUGUUCGGACAGUGUCUGGUGGGUAGUUUGACUGGGGCGGUCUCCUCCCAAAGCGUAACGGAGGAGCACGAAGGUUGGCUAAUGACGGUCGGACAUCGUCAGGUUAGUGCAAUGGUAGAAGCCAGCUUAACUGCGAGACGGACAAGUCGAGCAGGUACGAAAGUAGGUCAUAGUGAUCCGGUGGUUCUGAAUGGAAGGGCCAUCGCUCAACGGAUAAAAGGUACUCCGGGGAUAACAGGCUGAUACCGCCCAAGAGUUCAUAUCGACGGCGGUGUUUGGCACCUCGAUGUCGGCUCAUCACAUCCUGGGGCUGAAGUAGGUCCCAAGGGUAUGGCUGUUCGCCAUUUAAAGUGGUACGCGAGCUGGGUUUAGAACGUCGUGAGACAGUUCGGUCCCUAUCUGCCGUGGGCGUUGGAGGAUUGAGGGGGGUUGCUCCUAGUACGAGAGGACCGGAGUGAACGCACCGCUGGUGUUCGGGUUGUCAUGCCAAUGGCAUUGCCCGGUAGCUAAGUGCGGAAGAGAUAAGUGCUGAAAGCAUCUAAGCACGAAACUUGCCCCGAGAUGAGUUCUCCCUGACAAAGAGUCAGUAAGGGUUGUUGAAGACGACGACGUAGAUAGGUGGGGUGUGUAAGCGGUGUGAGCCGUUGAGCUAACCCAUACUAAUUGCCCGAGAGGCUUAACUAU